rnacentral:rRNA from 1 species
GACGAACGCUGGCGGCGUGCUUAACACAUGCAAGUCGAACGGAAAGGCCCUGCUUUUGUGGGGUGCUCGAGUGGCGAACGGGUGAGUAACACGUGAGUAACCUGCCCUUGACUUCGGGAUAACUUCAGGAAACUGGGGCUAAUACCGGAUAGGAGCUCCUGCUGCAUGGUGGGGGUUGGAAAGUUUCGGCGGUUGGGGAUGGACUCGCGGCUUAUCAGCUUGUUGGUGGGGUAGUGGCUUACCAAGGCUUUGACGGGUAGCCGGCCUGAGAGGGUGACCGGCCACAUUGGGACUGAGAUACGGCCCAGACUCCUACGGGAGGCAGCAGUGGGGAAUUUUGCACAAUGGGCGGAAGCCUGAUGCAGCAACGCCGCGUGCGGGAUGACGGCCUUCGGGUUGUAAACCGCUUUCGCCUGUGACGAAGCGUGAGUGACGGUAAUGGGUAAAGAAGCACCGGCUAACUACGUG